CAACUUUCAACAAUGGAUCUCUUGGCUCUGGCAUCGAUGAAGAACGCAGCGAAAUGCGAUAAGUAGUGUGAAUUGCAGAAUUCAGUGAAUCAUCGAAUCUUUGAACGCACAUUGCGCCCCUCGGUAUUCCGGGGGGCAUGCCUGUUCGAGCGUCAUCU
rnacentral:rRNA from 1 species